GGAAUCUGCCCUUGGGUUCGGAAUAACUUCUGGAAACGGAAGCUAAUACCGGAUGAUGACGUAAGUCCAAAGAUUUAUCGCCCAAGGAUGAGCCCGCGUAGGAUUAGCUAGUUGGUGGGGUAAAGGCUCACCAAGGCGACGAUCCUUAGCUGGUCUGAGAGGAUGAUCAGCCACACUGGGACUGAGACACGGCCCAGACUCCUACGGGAGGCAGCAGUAGGGAAUAUUGGACAAUGGGCGAAAGCCUGAUCCAGCAAUGCCGCGUGAGUGAUGAAGGCCUUAGGGUUGUAAAGCUCUUUUACCCGGGAUGAUAAUGACAGUACCGGGAGAAUAAGCUCCGGCUAACUCCGUGCCAGCAGCCGCGGUAAUACGGAGGGAGCUAGCGUUGUUCGGAAUUACUGGGCGUAAAGCGCACGUAGGCGGCUAUUCAAGUCAGAGGUGAAAGCCCGGGGCUCAACCCCGGAACUGCCUUUGAAACUAGAUAGCUUGAAUCCAGGAGAGGUGAGUGGAAUUCCGAGUGUAGAGGUGAAAUUCGUAGAUAUUCGGAAGAACACCAGUGGCGAAGGCGGCUCACUGGACUGGUAUUGACGCUGAGGUGCGAAAGCGUGGG
rnacentral:rRNA from 1 species